UGCUUUACACAUGCAAGUCGAACGGCAGCACGGGAGCUUGCUCCUGGUGGCGAGUGGCGAACGGGUGAGUAACAUAUCGGAACGUACCCAGUCGUGGGGGAUAACUAUCCGAAAGGAUAGCUAAUACCGCAUACGUCCUGAGGGAGAAAGCGGGGGAUCGCAAGACCUCGCGCGAUUGGAGCGGCCGAUAUCGGAUUAGCUAGUUGGUGGGGUAAAGGCUCACCAAGGCGACGAUCCGUAGCGGGUCUGAGAGGACGACCCGCCACACUGGAACUGAGACACGGUCCAGACUCCUAUGGGAGGCAGCAGUGGGGAAUUUUGGACAAUGGGGGCAACCCUGAUCCAGCCAUUCCGCGUGAGUGAAGAAGGCCUUCGGGUUGUAAAGCUC
rnacentral:rRNA from 1 species